CCUACGGGUGGCAGCAGUGAGGAAUAUUGGUCAAUGGCCGCAGGUCUGAACCAGCCAAGUCGCGUGAGGGAUGACGGCCCUAUGGAUUGUAAACCUCUUUUGUCAGGGAGCAAAGGGCGCCACGUGUGGCUCUUUUCGAGUACCUGAAGAAAAAGCAUCGGCUAACUCCGUGCCAGCAGCCGCGGUAAUACGGAGGAUGCGCGCGUUAUCCGGAUUUAUUGGGUUUAAAGGGUGCGUAGGCGGACGAUUAAGUUAGCGGUAAAAUUGCGGGGCUAAACCCGGGCCGGCCGUUGAAACUGGGGAUCUUGAGUGGGCGUGAAGUAUGCGGAAUGCGUGGUGUAGCGGUGAAAUGCAUAGAUAUCACGCAGAACUCCGAUUGCGAAGGCAGCAUACCGGCGCCCGACUGACGCUGAGGCACGAAAGCGUGGGGAUCGAACAGGAUUAGAUACUCCUGUAGUC
rnacentral:rRNA from 1 species